rnacentral:lncRNA from 1 species
CUUCUUCUUCUUCUUCUUCUUCUUCUUCUUCUUCUUUCUUUCUUUCCUUUUUCUUUCUUUCUUUCCCUUUCUUCUUCCCUGCAACUGUGCGUCACUGCCAGCAACUCCAGCAGCUCCAGCAACGUCAGUCGAUCACCACCACGUGCCAGUUGCAGUCGCACCACCUCCAUCGCGCGCCAGCACGUCCCGCAGCUCCUCCGCGCACCACAGUCAGCCCUCUGCCAGGCCUGUCGCGCCUACAACAGCAGCACCAGCUUCAAGCCUCGCUGCCAGCCGCUCCUCCGCCAGAUCGUGUGCCACCGCCGCCGAUCGCCACUGUCUCCGCCACUGUCAGUUGGAUCUGGCCACUGGCAGUUACUGCCCUUUGAUCCGGCAC